rnacentral:rRNA from 1 species
AAACCUGGCCGCAACGAGUAAGAGGGUCGCAAUGGUUAGCGUUGAAGACUUUGGGCGUAGGCCCAGUUGGAGCUUCCAUUGGUGCAGAUCUUGGUGGUAGUAGCAAAUAUUCAAGUGAGAUCCUUGAAGACUGAAGUGGAGAAGGGUUCCACGUGAACAGCAGUUGAAUGUGGGUCAGUCGAUCCUAAGAUAUUGGCUAAUGCCGUUUUUAAUAAAAUAGAGGAAUGGAGGUGUAAUCCAUCUGAUAAAUCGAAAGGGAAACGGGUUAAUAUUCCCGUACCUGGACACGGAGAUAAAUGCUCAUCGUGAGGAUUUAGCGCGGUAACGCAAAUGAACUCGGAAACAUUGAGGAAAGCCCGAGCCAGAGUUCUCUUUUCUGGUUAAGGAACGGACUCCCUGGAAUCGGUUCAGCCGGAGAUAGGGAUGUUGUUUCCGUAAAGCGCCACGGUUCCUGUGGUGUCUCGUGCGCUUUGUUCGAUCCAUGAAAAUCCGAGGGAGGCUAUUUGAAUUUCGUGCCAGAUCGUACCCAUAUCCGCAGCAGGUCUCCAAGGUGAACAGCCUCUAGUCGAUAGAAUAAUGUAGGUAAGGGAAGUCGGCAAAUUAGAUCCGUAACUUCGGGAUAAGGAUUGGCUCUAAGGACUGGGCCGGUCGGGCUGUAAUGUGAAGUGAGUACGGUUUGAUCCAUGCAGUGUAACAUUAAUGAAUCAUGCAUUCAUUGAUGAAACUCGGCUAGUGUUCGAACUGUCUUAUGGACCGUUACAGCUGCGUAUCACAUUUGCUUUUUUUCAACAAAGUGAAUGUUUAUUGAUACUUCGGCCGGCGUUAAACAGUCAACUUAGAACUGGCACGGACUCGGGGAAUCCGACUGUCUAAUUAAAACAGAGGAGACAGAUGGCCCUUGCGGGCGUUGACUGUCUCUGAUUUCUGCCCAGUGCUCUGAAUGUAAAAGUGAAGAAAUUCAACCAAGCGCGGGUAAACGGCGGGAGUAACUAUGACUCUCUUAAGGUAGCCAAAUGCCUCGUCAUCUAAUUCGUGACGCGCAUGAAUGGAUUAACGAGAUUCCCACUGUCCCUAUCUACUAUCUAGCGAAACCACAGCCAAGGGAACGGGCUUGGCAAACACAGCGGGGAAAGAAGACCCUGUUGAGCUUGACUCUAGUCCGACUCUGUGAAGAGUCAUGAGAGGUGUAGCAUAAGUGGGAGGUUUUUGUAUUCUUGUACAAAUACCAACAGUGAAAUACCACUACUUUCAUCGAUUCUUUACUUAUUCGGUAAAACGAGAAUUGAAGCAUUAUAUGUGUUUCGAAAUUUUUGAUUUAAGUUAAACUACUCGGUGGUUUAACGACUCGCACCGAAGACAGUGUCAGGCGGGGAGUUUGACUGGGGCGGUACAUCUGUCAAAACGUAACGCAGGUGUCCUAAGGCUAGCUCAGAGAGGACGGAAACCUCUCGUAGAGUAAAAGGGCAAAAGCUCGCUUGAUCUUGAUUUCCAGUACGAAUACAGACCGCGAAAGCGUGGCCUAUCGAUCCUUUUGAAUUUCUUAGAAGGUUUCUAGCAAGAGGUGUCAGAAAAGUUACCACAGGGAUAACUGGCUUGUGGCAGCCAAGCGUCCAUAGCGACGUUGCUUUUUGAUCCUUCGAUGUCGGCUCUUCCUAUCAUUGCGAAGCAGAAUUCGCCAAGCGUUGGAUUGUUCACCCACCAAUAGGGAACGUGAGCUGGGUUUAGACCGUCGUGAGACAGGUUAGUUUUACCCUACUGUGAUAUGUUGUUGCGAUAGUAAUCCUGCUCAGUACGAGAGGAACCGCAGGUUCAGACAUUUGGUUCAUGUGCUUGGCCGAUCGGCCAAUGGUGCGAAGCUACCAUCUGAGGGAUUAUGACUGAACGCCUCUAAGUCAGAAUCCCACCUAGACAAGGCAACGAUAAAUUUGCUCCCCGGUGUCGGGAGGCACUAUUAUGUAAUGAUGGUUGCAAUGCAUCCAUUAUUACAGCUAAUGCCCCAUUAUAUGGCUUUGCUAUUUAAUCGAAUGGUUAAAUGGUUGCCAAAACCGGAUUACUCUGGUACAAUGUCGGGGCGCAAGAUCACUUGCAGACGACUUGAUUACUGGUCAAGGUGUUGUAAGCAGUAGAGCAGCCUCCAUACUGCGAUCUGUUGAGACUUAUCCUUUGAUUGGACGAUUUGUUUUCAUUUU